rnacentral:rRNA from 1 species
GACGAACGCUGGCGGCGUGCCUAAUACAUGCAAGUGGGACGCAAGGAAACACACUGUGCUUGCACACCGUGUUUUCUUGAGUCGCGAACGGGUGAGUAACGCGUAGGUAACCUGCCUAUUAGCGGGGGAUAACUAUUGGAAACGAUAGCUAAUACCGCAUAAUAUUAAUUAUUGCAUGAUAAUUGAUUGAAAGAUGCAAGCGCAUCACUAGUAGAUGGACCUGCGUUGUAUUAGCUAGUUGGUAAGGUAAGAGCUUACCAAGGCGACGAUACAUAGCCGACCUGAGAGGGUGAUUGGCCACACUGGGACUGAGACACGGCCCAGACUCCUACGGGAGGCAGCAGUAGGGAAUCUUCGGGAAUGGACGAAAGUCUGACCGGGCAACGCCGCGUGAGUGAAGAAGGUUUUCGGAUCGUAAAGCUCUGUUGUAAGGCAAGAACGUGUGUGAGAGUGGAAAGUUCACACAGUGACGGUAGCUUACCAGAAAGGGACGGCUAACUACGUG